ACCAGCUGCCAUAUCAUCCUGCAUCUCGCAACAGACAGCCUACUGAAGCUCAGCAGAUGUGAGCCUGGUCAGUACCUGGAUGGGAGACCUCCUGGGAAAAACUAAGGUUGCUGCUGGAA
rnacentral:rRNA from 1 species